AGCUUUGCGCAGUGGCGGUAUCGUAGCCAAUGAGGUUUAUCCGAGGCGCGAUUAUUGCUAAUAGAGUUGAAAUGUUAAAUAAAAUAAAAUUUCCUUAUUGAUGCUCCAUUUUCAAGAAGAUAUUUGUUACCUCAUUGUAUUUAUUGAA